rnacentral:rRNA from 1 species
UACGUAGGGGGCGAGCGUUGUCCGGAAUGACUGGGCGUAAAGGGCGUGUAGGCGGCCUGUUAAGUUAGGAGUGAAAGUCCCGCUUUCAAGGUGGGAAUUGCUUUUAAUACUGAUGGGCUUGAGUGCAGAAGAGGUAAGUGGAAUUCCCAGUGUAGCGGUGAAAUGCGUAGAGAUUGGGAGGAACACCAGUGGCGAAGGCGACUUACUGGGCUGUAACUGACGCUGAGGCGCGAAAGCGUGGGGAGCGAACAGG